UACGUAGGGGGCAAGCGUUGUCCGGAUUUAUUGGGCGUAAAGAGCGUGUAGGCGGCUAUACAGGUCCGCUGUGAAAACUCGAGGCUCAACCUCGAGACGUCGGUGGAAACCGUCUGGCUAGAGUCCGGAAGAGGAGAGUGGAAUUCCCGGUGUAGCGGUGAAAUGCGCAGAUAUCGGGAAGAACACCCGUGGCGAAGGCGGCUCUCUGGGACGGUACUGACGCUGAGACGCGAAAGCGUGGGGAGCGAACAGG
rnacentral:rRNA from 1 species